rnacentral:rRNA from 1 species
ACACGCUGGCGGCGUGCUUACACAUGCAAGUCGAACGAUGAUCCCACUUGUGGGUGGAUUAGUGGCGAACGGGUAUAACGUGAGUAACCUGCCCUUGACUCUGGGAUAAGCCUGAGAAACUGGGUCUAAUACCGGAUAUGACCUUCCAUCGCAUGGUAGGUUGGUGGAAAGCUUUUGUGGUUUUGGAUGGACUCGCGGCCUAUCAGCUUGUUGGUGGGGUAAUGGCCUACCAAGGCGACGACGGGUAGCCGGCCUGAGAGGGUGACCGGCCACACUGGGACUGAGACACGGCCCAGACUCCUACGGGAGGCAGCAGUGGGGAAUAUUGCACAAUGGGCGCAAGCCUGAUGCAGCGACGCCGCGUGAGGGAUGACGGCCUUCGGGUUGUAAACCUCUUUCAGUAGGGAAGAAGCGAAAGUGACGGUACCUGCAGAAGAAGCGCCGGCUAACUACGUGCCAGCAGCCGCGGUAAUACGUAGGGCGCAAGCGUUAUCCGGAAUUAUAGGGCGUAAAGAG